UACGUAGGGGGGCAAGCGUUGUCCGGAUUUAUUGGGCGUAAAGAGCGUGUAGGCGGCUUUACAGGUCCGUUGUGAAAACUCGAGGCUCAACCUCGAGACGCCGGUGGAAACCGUAAGGCUAGAGUCCGGAAGAGGAGAGUGGAAUUCCUGGUGUAGCGGUGAAAUGCGCAGAUAUCAGGAGGAACACCCGUGGCGAAAGCGGCUCUCUGGGACGGUACUGACGCUGAGGAGCGAAAGCGUGGGGAGCGAACAGG
rnacentral:rRNA from 1 species